rnacentral:rRNA from 1 species
UAAUACGGAGGAUGCAAGCGUUAUCCGGAAUGAUUGGGCGUAAAGGGUCCGCAGGUGACAAUGUAAGUCUGCUGUUAAAGAAUCUAGCUCAACUAGAUAAAAGCAGUGGAAACU